GGCAUACAGCACCAGACGUUGCCAGCUGAGUGGAAACCCUGAAACUUUGACGUCUCAUUAUACACAAAGUUACCACAUCCUUUCUGAACAUCUUUAUUCAAAAAGCUGAUAUAAAAUGGUUUGCUAAGCUAUUAAUUGAAGCCUACUAACCGACACUUUCAGAAGACUUCGUUCCAGUUUUUUCAGGUAAGUGACAUUCAUUCCACUACUAUUUCACGUAGCACUAGAUGUUAGCAUUAUUUAGCAUCGAGUGGGCACUAACGUUAGGCUACGUUAGCGUCAUAUCGCCUCAAAUAAGUUAAUGUCGAAAAUGAUGACCGAAUGGCAGAAGCACACACAUACAUUUAGUUAACUUGAAUAAAGUUAACGUUAGUGAAAACCAUUGUGCUCCCGUUAUGAGUUAGUUUAACGUUGGUCAUACUAGGCAGGUGUGAGUCAAUGAACAGACAGCUCUAAAGUUAACGUUAGUUCACAAACAUACUGGGGCAACAAAGCAUGUUCUCGUCAAAAAACCUUUUGUAAAUACGCUCUGUGGGAAUGCUUAGUCCAUUGACAAUUUAUACAGUCUUUGGGUUGUCACGUUUAAGAUAAAAAAAAAAAACUUCAGCCGAAGCAUUAAAAGGCUUGUUGUCGGCUAGCUGAGGCAAAAUUGUGAACCGCUAUGAACCAUUGACCGUAUACUUUGAACAUGGAGCUGUGAUAACAAGCGAUAGUUAUAACUGACGUUUGAAACUCUUAUUGAUGCCAUUUAUUUGUUAAACACAAAUUUGAACGAACACUUCUUGUCUAUGCAAAGUUUCCCUGUAGGUAAUCCAGACAGCCUGGGUGCUGGAGAGGGCUCUGGACUCCUAACUUCAAUUCUUGUCUGUGCAGUCGACACUCAGAAGCAUCACUUCAGCACUGAUCUGGAACAUUUUGAAAUCCUACCAGAUGGGGCAGAAGUCAUUGAGCAGUGGCAGCUUCUGAUUUCAAGGACUUUGUUCACCUUUAUUUACAGCAUUUGCAUCUGUAUCUUUAAAGUGAUCUAAUAUGUAUUGACUAUGUACUAGCUUAGUACAUAUUAGUUUUUGUUAUUUUAGUUUCACAAAUUCAGUGGUUACCUGUAAUGCUCAAGAUAUACAAGUAAAAAAUCACCUUUA